UACGUAGGGGGCAAGCGUUGUCCGGAUUUAUUGGGCGUAAAGAGCGUGUAGGCGGCUAGGUAGGUCCGUUGUGAAAACUCGAGGCUCAACCUCGAGACGCCGGUGGAAACCAUCUAGCUAGAGUCCGGAAGAGGAGAGUGGAAUUCCUGGUGUAGCGGUGGAAUGCGCAGAUAUCAGGAGGAACACCGGUGGCGAAGGCGGUUCUCUGGGCCUUACCUGACGCUGAGGAGCGAAAGCGUGGGGAGCGAACAGG
rnacentral:rRNA from 1 species